rnacentral:siRNA from 1 species
ACUCUAUGAUCGGCUGCCCAAUUU